CCUACGGGAGGCAUCAGUGGGGAAUAUUGCGCAAUGGGCGAACGCCUGACGCAGCGACGCCGCGUGAGGGAUGAAGGUCUUCGGAUCGUAAACCUCUGUCAGCAGGGAAGAACGGUCACUGUGCUAAUCAGCAGUGAAUUGACGGUACCUGCAAAGGAAGCACCGGCUAACUCCGUGCCAGCCGCCGCUGUAAUACGGAGGGUGCGAGCGUUAAUCGGAAUUACUGGGCGUAAAGCGCUCGUAGGCGGUAUGUCAAGUCAAGGGUGAAAUCCCCGCGCUCAACGUGGGAACUGCCUUUGAAACUGGGAAACUGGAGUGUGUGAGAGGAUAGUGGAAUUCCAGGGGUAGGAGUGAAAUCCGUAGAGAUCUGGAGGAACAUCAGUGGCGAAGGCGACUAUCUGGCACAUAACUGACGCUGAGGAGCGAAAGCGUGGGUAGCAAACAGGAUUAGAUACCCUUGUAGUC
rnacentral:rRNA from 1 species